rnacentral:rRNA from 1 species
GACGAACGCUGGCGGCGUGCUUAACACAUGCAAGUCGAACGGAAAGGCCCUGCGUUUGUUGGGUGCUCGAGUGGCGAACGGGUGAGUAACACGCGAGUAACCUGCCCUUGACUUUGGGAUAACUUCAGGAAACUGGGGCUAAUACCGGAUAGGAUCUCCUGCUGCAUGGUGGUGGAUGGAAAGUUUCGGCGGUUGUGGAUGGACUCGCGGCUUAUCAGCUUGUUGGUGGGGUAGUGGCUUACCAAGGCUUUGACGGGUAGCCGGCCUGAGAGGGUUACCGGCCACAUUGGGACUGAGAUACGGCCCAGAAUCCUACGGGCGGCAGCAGUGGGGAAUCUUGCACAGUGGGCGGAAGCCUGAUGCAGCAACGCCGCGUGCGGGAUGACGGCCUUCGGGUUGUAAACAGCUUUCGACUGUGACGAAGCGUGAGUGACGGUAAUGGGUAAAGAAGCAACGGCUAACUACGUG